rnacentral:rRNA from 1 species
CCUACGGGAGGCAGCAGUAAGGGAUAUUGGUCAAUGGGGGAAACCCUGAACCAGCCACGCCGCGUGAGGGAAGACGGUUCUCGGAUUGUAAACCUCCUUUCUCUGUGAAGCAGAUGACGGCAGCAGAGGAGGAAGCUCCGGAUAACUACGUGCCAGCAGCCGCGGUAAUACGUAGGGAGCGACCGUUGUACGGAUUUACUGGGUGUAAAGGGUGCGUAGGUGGGUUGGCAAGUCAGUAGUGAAAGUCAUGGGCUUAACCCAUGAACUGCUGUUGAAACUGGCGGGCUUGAGUGAAGUAGAGGUAGGCGGAAUUCCCGGUGUAGCGGUGAAAUGCGUAGAGAUCGGGAGGAACACCGGUGGCGAAGGCGGCCUACUGGGCUUUAACUGACGCUGAGGCACGAAAGCGUGGGUAGCAAACAGGAUUAGAUACCCGGGUAGUC